GGAAGUGCGCGCGGGACUGGUGCCCGCCCCCGUCUUCAAAACGGGUGGGCUCGUCCUUCACGGGGCGGCCGGUGGGUUCGAUUCCCAUGCGCUUCCG
rnacentral:tRNA from 1 species